UUCGGUUUUGAAGGGUGGCGUAAC
rnacentral:miRNA from 1 species